rnacentral:rRNA from 1 species
CCUACGGGAGACAGCAGUGGGGGAUAUUGCACAAUGGGGGGAACCCUGAUGCAGCGACGCCGCGUGGGUGAAGAAGCGCCUCGGCGCGUAAAGCCCCGUUAGCAGGGAAGAAAAUGACGGUACCUGAAGAAGAAGCCCCGGCUAACUACGUGCCAGCAGCCGCGGUAAUACGGAGGGGGCAAGCGUUAUCCGGAUUUACGGGGGGUAAAGGGGGCGCAGACGGGGUUGCAAGCCCGGAGUGAAAGCCCGGGGCCCAACCCCGGGACUGCUCUUGGAACUGCGUGGCUGGGGUGCAGGAGGGGCAGGCGGAAGUCCUGGUGUAGCGGUGAAAUGCGUAGAUAUCAGGAGGAACACCGGUGGCGAAGGCGGCCUGCUGGACUGCAACUGACGUUGAGGCCCGAAAGCGUGGGGAGCGAACAGGAUUAGAUACCCUGGUAGUC